GUGGGGAAUAUUGGACAAUGGGCGCAAGCCUGAUCCAGCCAUGCCGCGUGAGUGAUGAAGGCCUUAGGGUUGUAAAGCUCUUUCAGUGGGGACGAUAAUGACGGUACCCACAGAAGAAGCCCCGGCUAACUUCGUGCCAGCAGCCGCGGUAAUACGAAGGGGGCUAGCGUUGUUCGGAUUUACUGGGCGUAAAGCGCACGUAGGCGGAUCGUGAAGUCGGGGGUGAAAUCCUGGAGCUCAACUCCAGAACUGCCUUCGAUACUGGCGAUCUUGAGUCCGGAAGAGGUGAGUGGAACUCCUAGUGUAGAGGUGGAAUUCGUAGAUAUUAGGAAGAACACCAGUGGCGAAGGCGGCUCACUGGUCCGGUACUGACGCUGAGGUGCGAAAGCGUGGGGAGCAAACAGGAUUAGAUACCCCGGUAGUCC
rnacentral:rRNA from 1 species